rnacentral:rRNA from 1 species
CCUACGGGUGGCAGCAGUGAGGAAUAUUGGUCAAUGGACGAGAGUCUGAACCAGCCAAGUCGCGUGAAGGAUGACUGCUCUAUGGGUUGUAAACUUCUUUUAUAAAGGAAUAAAGCGUGGGACGUGUGCUUUUUUGCAUGUACUUUAUGAAUAAGGAUCGGCUAACUCCGUGCCAGCAGCCGCGGUAAUACGGAGGAUCCGAGCGUUAUCCGGAUUUAUUGGGUUUAAAGGGUGCGUAGGCGGGUUGUUAAGUCAGCUGUGAAAGUCUGUGGCUCAACCGUAAAAUUGCAGUUGAUACUGGCAGGCUUGAGUACAGUUGAGGCAGGCGGAAUGCGUGGUGUAGCGGUGAAAUGCUUAGAUAUCACGCAGAACCCCGAUUGCGAAGGCAGCUUACUAAGCCAUGACUGACAUUGAUGCUCGAAAGUGUGGGGAUCAAACAGGAUUAGAUACCCGUGUAGUC